rnacentral:rRNA from 1 species
UACGAAGGGGGCUAGCGUUGUUCGGAAUUACUGGGCGUAAAGCGUGCGCAGGCGGUUUUGUAAGUCUGACGUGAAAUCCCCGGGCUCAACCUGGGAACUGCCUUUGUGACUGCAAGGCUUGAGUGCGGCAGAGGGGGAUGGAAUUCCGCGUGUAGCAGUGAAAUGCGUAGAUAUGCGGAGGAACACCGAUGGCGAAGGCAAUCCCCUGGGCCUGCACUGACGCUCAUGCACGAAAGCGUGGGGAGCAAACAGG